UCCAGCGGCCCAAACUUCAAAAAAAAUUUCCGUUUCAGUCUCAAGCAGACAACCUGGGUUCUUCACUACGGCCUAAAGUAUGUAUACCUGACCUGGAUUCCGCUUGUUGUCAUCUUCAGAGUUAGGGCAGAAGCUCAGGAGAAGCCAAUUUCUCCGCUCUCGUCGGCGAUACUGCGCACCAUCUGGGGGUGCACAGUUCACGGAAAGGAGCGCCUUUUUCAAAUUUUUGAAGAUGACGACGACACCGACAGGAUACUCUUUGAAAUGUAGAAUUGCAUUUUUCGUUUGGUAGUUGCAUAGUAGUUGCGUUUCGCGCUGUUUGAGUGCCUCCUGCCCACCGCUCACAGCAUGGUAGACACCUUUUGACAUGAUGGAGGAAGAGGCCGUGGAGCUUCUUAGGCCUCGUCCUGGGAAUGGCGUUGUAUCGCGGGAAUUUUGCUUGUGCCAUUGCGUUCAAUGCAUCGCAGGAAAAGCAAACCCGAUUUACUUUGCAGAGUUGGGAAACUUUGUUUGAAGCUGCUAAAUGCAGGCAGGACGAGCUAUACCUUCUUGUGCGAGAGCCACUGCACCGAGGAGAGCGUCCGCGGAUGGUACCACCGCAAGUGCUACAGUACAUACACUAACAAAACGUUGCUGGGUCGGCUGCCACUUGGACGUGGCCAUGACUUUUCAAGCCAUUCCGAAUUGGAGGAGAUACAUGUAUGUGAUGAUGGGACACCAUGUACCAGCAAAGCGUAGAACAAGGAGAGAUGUACAAUGAUUGAAUCCACAUCUGCAGACUUGUGCCUCAUGACAUGUGCAUUUAGCAGAGUUGGAGAACAACGCAAGAAUUUUGGCUUUCGCUCCAGAAUGGCCCAGAUUGCGUUGCAGCGGAAAUCCACUAUCAACGUCGGAGCAUGCUACAGUGCCUUCACCCACCUGGCCACUAUGCACCGGCAACGAAGUGGCAAAGGGAGUGACCAGCCGUCGGCCUACGAAACAUUUGACAGCCUGGUGCUGUAUAUACAGUCCGAGUUGAAGUCUGCAAGGGCCUUGCCCAUGAAGCUUCUCACGGAUAAGUACAAUAACUGCAAACAGCACCAGCUUGGCCGACCAUCACACUCCGCCUUAGUAUCCAACUUUCAUGCUGAAAAAGAAGAUAAUGAGCUACUUGGGGACCAGCAAUUGACAUGUAUGGUAAGUGGCAUGGGUAUACAGGCGCACUCUUCACGGAGCAGCCACUUGUCUGUGUCGUCUGGAAACGGUCCGAUGGCCGGUAAUACCCAGUCAUUGCCGAACAGUCAUACUAGUAACGCACCUGGCCCGACCCCAACCAUCCCAGUCCAGCCGGUCGCCGCAGAUUUCCUGCCCGCAUCCACGUCCACUCCGCACCCCAGUGUCCGGCAAGAGAACGGGCCCAAUGCCAGGAGUUACGACGGGCCCACUGCCAGGAAUUACGAUAGGCUCACUUCCAGGAGUUACGAUAGGCCCGCUGCGAUAUCCGCUGGGCUUGUCCCCGCCUAUGUCGUGUUGCCCACUCAUUUCGGCUUCAAAGGAUCCGCUACUCCGCCGCGUCAGGUGAACACCAGUGGAUCAGUUUCAUCUUUGGGUACUACAUCAGCCUCCAGUACAGAUGUGUCGGCUAGUACGGCUUUGACUACAACCUCGGGUGCGAGGUAACCCGUGGCGGCUGCGGUGUCUUCUACAGCGCCAUCUCAACCACGGCCGCAGCAGGUUCUUGCUGAUCUCUAGCGUGCUAUGUGGUGUGUGAGUGUGUGCGCGCGCGCGCGGACGCGCACACACAAUGCCAUGUGUUGUGCGGUGUGUGUGCGUGUGGGGUUUGUGUAUGUGUGUGUGCGAGCGCGCGCGCACAAUGCCAUGUGUUGUGCGGUGUGUGUACGCGUGUGUGUGUGUGCGCGCGCGCGCGCAUGCACACAAUGCCAUGAUGAGGGUGAAGGCAGUUUCGACAGUGGAUUGGACUGUAAGUCCGACUGUGAAUCGGACAGUGAGUCUGAAAGCUAAGGCUGGUGGACCGCACUAUUGAAGUUUUUGAAUUGAUUUGAAUUUGAAUUGUACUUUUCCACUCUGCAGCAAAUGACAAAUACACUACUGCGCUAUUAUUUACAACAUCUUCCAUAUCGCUCGUUUGCUAAGAUCAGCUUAUGAUCGCUAUCACUCUGCCGUUUUCCGGUGUCCUUUGCUUCGCUCGUGCUAGCUCUCUUCCGCUGGUGUUGUCGAGAUAGUGUCCCAAUAAAUGAAAUCCUCUCAUACGAAA